GCCUUGGUAGAUCAAUGGGCAGAUCAUUCCUACUGUUUACUUGCGGGUGUACUAGGGGAAGCCGAAGGUUCGAAUCCUCCCAGAGGCA